rnacentral:tRNA from 1 species
GGCUUCGUGGUGUAACGGUAGCACAAUCGGCGCCUAUUUGAGAGUUCCAGGUUCGAAUCCCGGCGAGGGCA